rnacentral:tRNA from 1 species
GGGGUUGUAGCUCAGCUGGUUAGAGCGCUUGCCUGUCACGCAGGAGGUCGCGGGUUCGAGCCCCGUCAAUCCCGCAA